GACGAACGCUGGCGGCGUGCUUAACACAUGCAAGUCGAACGAAGAGCGAUGGAAGCUUGCUUCUAUCAAUCUUAGUGGCGAACGGGUGAGUAACGCGUAAUCAACCUGCCCUUCAGAGGGGGACAACAGUUGGAAACGACUGCUAAUACCGCAUACGAUCUAAUCUCGGCAUCGAGGAUAGAUGAAAGGUGGCCUCUACAUGUAAGCUAUCACUGAAGGAGGGGAUUGCGUCUGAUUAGCUAGUUGGAGGGGUAACGGCCCACCAAGGCGAUGAUCAGUAGCCGGUCUGAGAGGAUGGACGGCCACAUUGGGACUGAGACAAGGCCCAGACUCCUACGGGAGGCAGCAGUGGGGAAUCUUCCGCAAUGGACGAAAGUCUGACGGAGCAACGCCGCGUGAGUGAUGACGGCCUUCGGGUUGUAAAGCUCUGUUAAUCGGGACGAAAGGCCUUCUUGCGAAUAGUGAGAAGGAUUGACGGUACCGGAAUAGAAAGCCACGGCUAACUACGUG
rnacentral:rRNA from 1 species